rnacentral:rRNA from 1 species
GAUGAACGCUGGCAGAAUGCUUAACACAUGCAAGUCAACUUGAAUUUGGGUUUUUAACUUAGGUUUGGGUGGCGGACGGGUGAGUAACGCGUAAAGAACUUGCCUCACAGCUAGGGACAACAUUUGGAAACGAAUGCUAAUACCUAAUAUUAUGAUAAUAGGGCAUCCUAUAAUUAUGAAAGCUAUAAGCGCUGUGAGAGAGCUUUGCGUCCCAUUAGCUAGUUGGAGAGGUAACGGCUCACCAAGGCGAUGAUGGGUAGCCGGCCUGAGAGGGUGAUCGGCCACAAGGGGACUGAGACACGGCCCUUACUCCUACGGGAGGCAGCAGUGGGGAAUAUUGGACAAUGGACCGAGAGUCUGAUCCAGCAAUUCUGUGUGCACGAUGAAGUUUUUCGGAAUGUAAAGUGCUUUCAGUUGGGAAGAAACAAAUGACGGUACCAACAGAAGAAGUGACGGCUAAAUACGUG